rnacentral:rRNA from 1 species
UGGUGGAGUGAUUUGUCUGGUUAAUUCCGAUAACGAACGAGACCUCAACACUUAAAUAGGAAGACAAGGUAUCUAUAUGGGUGAAGCAGAAUAAUGUUACGACCAGCAAUGGUUGUUGCCUUACCUGUGGAUCCUUGAUAUCUUGUUAUUUAAACACACCUUCUUAAGUGGACUGUUUGCGAUUAGCAAAUGGAAGUUUGAGGCAAUAACA